rnacentral:piRNA from 1 species
UGCACACACAGGUAUGUCUGUCUCUGU